rnacentral:rRNA from 1 species
UGCAGUCGAACGAUGACGACCGUGCUUGCACGGUCUGAUUAGUGGCGAACGGGUGAGAAACACGUGAGUAACCUGCCCCUCACUUCGGGAUAACCUCGGGAAAUCGUGGCUAAUACCGGAUACGAGCACUCAUCGCAUGGUGGGUGUUGGAAAGAUUUAUCGGUGGGGGAUGGACUCGCGGCCUAUCAGUUUGUUGGUGAGGUGAUGGCUCACCAAGACGAUGACGGGUAGCCGGCCUGAGAGGGCGACCGGCCACACUGGGACUGAGACACGGCCCAGACUCCUACGGGAGGCAGCAGUGGGGAAUAUUGCACAAUGGGCGAAAGCCUGAUGCAGCGACGCCGCGUGGGGGAUGACGGCCUUCGGGUUGUAAACCCCUUUCAGUAGGGAAGAAGCGAGAGUGACGGUACCUGCAGAAGAAGCGCCGGCUAACUACGUGCCAGCAGCCGCGGUAAUACGUAGGGCGCAAGCGUUGUCCGGAAUUAUUGGGCGUAAAGAGCUUGUAGGUGGCUUGUCGCGUCUGCCGUGAAAACCCGAGGCUCAACCUCGGGCGUGCGGUGGGUACGGGCAGGCUAGAGUGUGGUAGGGGAGACUGGAACUCCUGGUGUAGCGGUGAAAUGCGCAGAUAUCAGGAAGAACACCGAUGGCGAAGGCAGGUCUCUGGGCCAUUACUGACACUGAGAAGCGAAAGCAUGGGUAGCGAACAGGAUUAGAUACCCUGGUAGUCCAUGCCGUAAACGUUGGGCACUAGGUGUGGGGGACAUUCCACGUUUUCCGCGCCGUAGCUAACGCAUUAAGUGCCCCGCCUGGGGAGUACGGCCGCAAGGCUAAAACUCAAAGGAAUUGACG